rnacentral:misc_RNA from 1 species
GAUGAAGAACGCAGCGAAAUGCGAUAAGUAAUGUUAAUUGCAGAAUUCAGUGAAUCAUCGAAUCUUUGAACGCACAUUGCGCCCCUUGGUAUUCCGAGGGGCAUGCCUGUUCGAGCGUCAUUAUAACCCCUCAAGCUCAGCUUGGUGUUGGGGCCUGCUGCACUGGCAGCCCUUAAAAUCAGUGGCGGCGCCAUCUGGCUCUAAGCGUAGUAAUUCUUCUCGCUAUGGAGUCCUGGUGGAUGCUUGCCAUCAACCCCCAAUUUUUCUAUGGUUGACCUCGGAUCAGGUAGGGAUACCCGCUGAACUUAAGCAUAUCAAUAAGCGGAGGA